rnacentral:ncRNA from 1 species
AACCUUAUAACAUUCAACUCAGAGCUAGUUCAGACAAGGGGAAUCUGAUUAUUUAAUUAAAACAAAGAAUUGUGAUGGUCCAUGUGGAUGCUGACGCAGUGUGAUUUCUGCCUAGUGCUCUAAAUGUUAAAGUGAAUAAAUUCAACCAAGCACGGGUAAAUAGCGGGAGUAACUAUUACUCUGUUAAGGUAGCCAAAUUCCUCACUGUCUAAUUAGUGAUGCACAUGAAUGGAUUAAAUAGAUUCCCACUAUCCCUAUCUACUAUCUAGCGAAACCACAACCAAGGGAAUGGGCUUGGUAUAAUCAACAGGGAAAGAAUACCUUGUUGAGAUUGACUCUAGUCCAACUUUGUGAAAUGAAUUGAGAGUUGUAGAAUAAGUGGGAAUAUUUUUUGGCACAAAUGAAAUACCACUACUUUUAACAUUAUUUUACUUAUAAUUUUGUGGGGCAGAGAUGGGGCAGUUAACCUAUUUUUGGCCUUAAGUCAUGUUUCGAUGGGUCAAUCUGGGCGGAAGACAUUGCCAGGUGGGGAUUUUGGAUGGGGAAACACAUCUAUUAAAAUAUAACAUAAAAUAUAAUUGGUGUAGAUAGAACAUUUGUAUUUGGGAGAUCCUAGUGCAUAACCAUCCUUAUUACCUUUCCCUCCUAAUUUCUAGU